ensembl:lncRNA
AUGUAAGGUGGGGGCGUGUAAGGGGGUUGGUGAUCUUCAUUCAAGAUGUAAGGUGGGGGCGUGUAAGGGGGGUGGCAGGAUGCUAGGUAUGAAAAGGUGUGAAUGCCAGGUAGGGCGGUCUAACUGACUGUGGCCAUCUAAAUGCUAAUAUGCCUGGCUCCAACCAUCUUGUCAUGGCUGUAGACAAAUGCCAAGAAUCAAGUCUAAUGGCCCUGGCUCCAAACCCCUGGUGUGUCUCAGACUAUGUGAAGGGAUCAACUGAUAUGGCCUGGUAUGUGAAACCUACCCAUUUUAACAAUACGUUUUUCAUUCACCAACAUUCAAGUUUUAAUUUGCAAACUCUUCACAAUCAUUAGAUACGCCCAAGCCAACAAUGCUUGUCAUGCCAAUACACGUUUCCAGUCUGUCCAGAGGAAUAAGUGAUGUCAAAUGCACUUUAGAAGUCCCAGUAGGACAAGGGAAAAGUGGUAAUUGUCUUAAACCACAAAAACAUUUUUUACAACAUUUGGUAUUGUAGUCUCAGUAGGCUACGAUGAUGAGGCCUGUAAAUUCAGUUAAGUUAAUGCUUGAGAUGAACCUAUUAGUGAUUUUUCCCGUAAUAAUGCCCAGUGACGAUAUGCAAGGACCCGGCUUUUUUUUCAGAAAGGCUAAGAUGCACAUUUGGUCGAUAGUGCUGACACUCAUACAAAAAUAUGUUUCAGCUUAAAGAAUAUUAAAUCAUUGUACAACCCCUUAGUUACUCACCAAUUCCCUUAGAUCAUAGUUAUUGAUCUUGCUUCCCAUGUGGACAACAACACAUUGGUGGUCUUGUUACACGUGUGACAGGAUUGACAAAGAAUAACCUGCACAGAAAUAAGUAGCAAAACUGUGUAUAUUUUUUAAUAUUAUCAUUUUAUCAUGCAUUGAUUCAUACAAUUUUUGUCAUUUCAUAAUUUCAGUAGAUCAGUUCUUUUUCAACAAACUUCACAGUGCACCAAUGAAUAUCAAGCCAAAGGGACAGAGUGUUAUAUGUUAAAGACGUUAGAGCAUGUUCCCAGUGUAGAGGUCAAAGGUGUUAUAUGUUGAGGACGUUACAGCAUGUUCCCAGUGUAGAGGUCAAAGGUGUUAUAUGUUCAGGACGUUACAGCAUGUUCCCAGUGUAGAGGUCAAAGGUGUUAUAUGUUCAGGACGUUACAGCAUGUAAGACAUUAGACAUUUAGCAGACGCUUUUAUCCAAAGCGACGUACAGGGGAGAGAACAAUCAAGCUACGAGCAAUAGAGACCUAGUGUAACAAUAAAUACUAUUUUACAUAAGAAAUAGAAAAAAGUGCAGGAAUGUAACUGCUGUAAGUGCAAGUUAGGUACUAGUAGAAGUGCAAGUUGGGAUUGGAGGUGCUCUUUGAAGAGUUGGGUCUUCAAGAGCUUCUUAAAGGUAGAGAGGGACGCCCCUGCUCUAGUAGUGCUAGGCAGCUUGUUCCACCAACGUGGAACUACGAAUAAGAAUAGUCUAGAUUGCCGUACUUGCACAGGCGGCAGUGCUAAACGACGCUCAUUAGACGAGCGCAGCAUCCUUGGGGUAACAUUUGCCCCUACAAGAGCAUUUAACAUUUAAAAUGUUAUGCCUUAGAAAUGGGGUCUGAAUUUGGCUUUUUACCAAGACUUUUAAAAAAAACUUGAGAAAAUGGUUCUCCGAUUCUAUAUACUAUGAUUCUAUACUAUAAUGGCUUUUAACAGUGAUUUUGGAAUAGGACUUAGAACACAGGUUGUUUGUGAGUUCAUUUGUCAUUGUAUUUUAAAAGGUGCACCUGCCCAUAUUGACUAGGUAACUUAUUUUGGCACCGAACCUCUACCUUACUCCGUUUACCCCACCUGUCACCUUGACACCGCCUCAAGCACCAGUUAGCCCUGCUUGUUCCA